GGUUCGAUCAUGGCUCAGAUUGAACGCUGGCGGGAUCUUUACAUGCAGGUCGAACGCUGGACUUCGGUCUGGUGGCGUGAGUGGCAGGCAGGUGAGUAAUGUAUCAGGAACGUGCCAGUAGCAGAUAACUGCAUAGCCCCAGCUAAUACCGCAUACGCCCUUCGAAGCGGGGGGACCUUCGGGCCUCGCACUAUUGAAGCAGCCGAUAUCGGAUCAGCUAGUUGGUGGGGUAACGGCUCACCAAGGCGACGAUCCGUAGCUGGUUUGAGAGGACGACCAGCCACACUGGGACUGAGACGGCCCAGACUCCUACGGGAGAGGCAGCGGUCAGGAAUUUUGGACAAUGGAAACCUGAUCCCAGCCAUCCCGCGUGUGCGAUGAAGGCCUUCGGGUUGUAAAGCACUUUUGGCAGGAAAAAGAAACGGCACGGGAUAUUACCCCGUGCAGCGUGUACCUGCAGAAUAAGCACCGGCUAACUACGUGCCAGCAGCCGCGGUAAUACGGUGCAAGCGUUAAUCGGAAUUGCACUGAAGGGCGUGCAAAGCAUUGCGCAGGCGGUUCCGGAAAGAAGAUGUAGUCGAGCUUAACUUUGGAACUGCAUUUUUAACUACCGAGCUAGGGGGUGUCAGAGGAGGUGGAAUUCCCGCGUGUAGCAGUGAAAUGCAUGUGAAUGCGCGGAAGACACCGAUGGCGAAGGCAGCCUCCUGGGAUAACACUGACGCUCUGUACACGAAAAGCGUGGGGAGCAAACAGGAUUAGAUACUCUAUUGCUGGUCCACCUAACGAUGUCAACUAGCUACUGUAGGCCUUCGGGCCUUGGCGCUAACGCGUGAAGUUGACCACCUGGGAAGGUACGGUCGCGAAGAUUAAAACUCAAAGGAAUUGACGGGGACCCGCACAAGCGGUGGAUGAUGUGGAUUAAUUCGAUGCAACGCGAAAAACCUUACCUACCCAUACUGACAUGUCUGGAAUCCCGAAGAGAUUUGGGAGUGCUCGCAAGAGAACCGGAACACAGGUGCUGCAUGGCUGUCGUCAGCUCGUGUCGUGAGAUGUUGGGUUAAGUCCCGCAACAGGCGCAACCCUUGUCAUUAGUUGCUACGAAAAGGGCACUCUAAUGAGACUGCCGGUGACAAACCGGAGGAAGGUGGGGAUGACGUCAAGUCCUCCUUGGCCCAUAUGGGUAGGGCUUCACACGUCAUACAAUGGUCAGGAUGGGGGUCGCCAACCCGCGAGGGAGCCAAUCCCAGAAACCCGAUCAUCAAAAGUCCGGAUCGCAGUCUGCAACUCGAGCUGCGUCGAAGUCGGAAUCGCUAGUAAUCGCGGAUCAGCAUGUCGCGGUGAAUACGUUCUCCCGGGUCUUGUACACACCGCCCGUCACACCAUGGGAAUUGGGUUUUACCAGAAGUAGUUAGCCUAACCGUAAGGGCGAUUACCACGGCAGGAUUCAUGACUGGGGUGAAGUCGUAUGGGGAUGG
rnacentral:rRNA from 1 species